AUAGUUCAGUGACAAGAGCAUCUGAUUUGUAUGCAGAGGGUUGUGGGUGCCCUUGGAGCUAUCCACUGUCUGACAUCCCAGAGAUUCAUUGCAAAAACUGUCGGCAAUGCUGAACUAAAUGGACUAGUGGUCUGACUGUCAACACAGAGCUUUCAGCCCAAUUUCCAACCAUGAAGAGCCUCCACCAUUUCUCAGUUCUCGUCUUCUCGGUGCUGCUGCUUGUUGAUCCAGGAUUUAGUAGAGGCAUUUUGAAGAAAACGGAUUGUCACAGCUCCAGUGGAAGUUGCUUUCCAAUAACUUGCCCCUGGCCCUUUGCAAACCAUAUCGGAGAAUGCAUUUGGCCCAUUUUGCGGUGCUGCUUGUAUAACAGCAGGUCAACAUGAUGGAGGCUCCACGAUAUACCAAGAAAAACAACCCAAAGAAUAAUUUGUAAAUGUGUCGUCUGUUGGCUUUUGCAAGAGUCUCUGUUCUUUGGAAUAAUCCUCCAGGUUUCUGAGACAGGCAGAUGGUGCCCCAACCCGUACUCUUUUGCCAACCCAAGACUUGGUGCAUGCCAUGAAGACAGUCACACCUUGUAAAAGAUUGUAAGAAAGGGUUUACGUCAAUGGAUAAGGUUGGGCAGGCAGCAGGGGGGAGGGAGAAUUAGACCAUCACCGAUGUAAGGAAGGGAAGUCGCCAAGAUAAAUAAAUAGAUUCUGAUGUAAAUUGUAUGUUAUGUGAUCUUAAUGUAAGAGAAUGUAAAAUAAUAAACAUGUUUUGGAGGAGGAGGAGGAGAUACAGUACAGU